rnacentral:lncRNA from 1 species
UUUUUUUUUUUUUUUUUUUUUUUGCGAAGUUUCUGGAAACCUACCAUUCUUACCAUCUCAAUUACCGGAUUGCUCAGGGUUUCUGAAGCUUAGAGAAAAAGCCCUUAUUCAACAGGUAUAUAUUUAGUAUGCAUAUAAAUCUGCGCUUCCCGAAUGUUGCAGCGCUUUGCAUUUGACCUUAGGCAAUUCAUCCUCCAUGUUAGUACCGAGGUUCGUUUUUUUAAUGGACUGCCUAGAAUAAAACGGUGUGGAGCCUUAAAGGAUGGUGCAUUAGUAAUGCUGAUGUAAUGUGACUCCCCGGGAAGAAUUGGUUGGUCAUGGGGAAGCUGUAGGAACCUGGUGGAUGUGACCGUAAUGUAGCACGGAGAGGAGGCAGGCGGCCGGAGACUUUAGGACACAGCUCCAGGGAAGAGAAAGAAAUGAUUUGGAGACGAGAGGGUGUAAAAGGAAACGCAUUUUUUAAAGAAUGGGAGACUUUGACAAAUAAAAUUCCGAGUUCACAGUGGAAUAUUCACCCUGAAGGAGAAAGAGGAUGGCAACUAAAGGAGCAGCUGUUCUCUAAUGAUCUCAGGUGGAGCUUGUUUUUCCUACUAGCAAAUGCAAAAGAUGGAGAGAAAAAGCAUAUGCAGAAGAAUGAAUAAAAAGAAGGACAAAAUUCUGUAAGAACAGUGUCAGGAGAGCUAAACCUCAGAAUGAAAUGGGGCUUGCAGAAACGCUAGGGAAGCAAGAAGGUUGUGGUUGUUUUAAUAUGCUCAUUACAAAACAAUGAUAAUGAUGAAAGAAUAGACCUACUGUUGAGGGGGUCCAAGGUUAAUAAUAGGUGACAGAGAGAAGACAGCGAGAUUUACAUUUUUUGAGGCAUUAAAAAUAAAUCCCCAGUGGAUCACUGGACAGAUCUUUUGCGUGUCAUCUCAAUCCUUAGAGGAUCUGAUGGUAAAACUCUUACUAAUCCAAUUUUACAGAUUAGAAUUUGAGGCUUAGAUAAGUUAAUUUGCUUAUGAUUGCAAAGAAAAAUAAAACAGAAGUAAACUCUAGUAAGUAGGGCAUAAGAGCCCAUUCUCCAAGUUAAUACUCCAUUCCACCUCUAUUUUCUUCCAUUUUUACCAUCAGAUAAAUGAGUUUCACCCAGAAAAUGAAAGAGAAACAUUAGGAAGAAGAAUCUAAUGGAUGAAUUUUAUGUAUGAUCUGUAAACUAUGCCUCAACAAGUUUUUUUUUGUUUUUUGUUUGUUUGUUUUUUUAAAGGAGACAACUUGAAAGCCAAGACCGGUGAAUAGGUGGUACAAGAAUACCUGACUAUGCUGAAAGAGUUCUGGCCUUUAGACAGAGAUCAGUUACAUGCCAGUUAACUUGAUUUAUCCAGCAAAUACUGAUUAAAUACUAUGUGAUGGGCACUGACCUUAGAAUUGGGGAUAUAAAGGUGAGCACAGUAAAUAAACACGAAACUUCCCUCAUAGAGAUUUUCUCAGUAAUAAGAGUGAUGUGCAAGAGAGUUGAACUCAGGAGCACCUUACCUAGUGUAGAGGAUCACGAAGGCUUCUCGAAGGAAGUGACAUUUAAGAUAAGGGCUAAUGCACAGGUAGAAAUUAGCAUGUGACAGUUAUUACCAAAAUAAAUAGUAAAAUGGUCAUGAAAACACUAGAGAAACCUCUGGGAAAGGCAUUUAUUCAUUCACACAAUAAGUAUAUAUAUAUAAUCAAGGGCCUACAGUGUGCCAGGAACCAUCAGACCAAUGAAUAAAACAACUCCCUACUUACAAGGAGAUGCCAGAGACUGGACAAAAACAAACCUUAUCCUGAUCUUUAAAAAAAAAAAAAAA